rnacentral:rRNA from 1 species
AUUGAACGCUGGCGGCAGGCCUAACACAUGCAAGUCGAACGAGUGGCGGACGGGUGAGUAAUGUCUGGGAAACUGCGCGAUGGAGGGGGAUAAAUACUGGAAACGGUAGCUAAUACCGCAUACCAUCGGAUGUGCCCAUAUGGGAUUAGCUAGUGGGUGGGGUAACGGCUAACCUAGGCGACGAUCCCUAGCUGGUCUGAGAGGAUGACCAGCCACACUGGGACUGAGACACGGUCCAGACUCCUACGGGAGGCAGCAGUGGGGAAUAUUGCACAAUGGGCGCAAGCCUGAUGCAGCCAUGCCGCGUGUAUGAAGAAGGCUUUCGGGUUGUAAAGUACUUUCAGCGGUGAGGCGUUACUCGCAGAAGAAGCACCGGCUAACUCCGUGCCAGCAGCCGCGGUAAUUC